rnacentral:lncRNA from 1 species
UUGGGGCGGAGCGCUAACGCCCGCUUGCAGACCCGGGUCUGCGGAGACCCGAGCCGAAGCUGCUGGCCUUUGGGACUGCGCCUCCCGUGGCGACUAAGUUCACGGCCAAACCCUUCCCUCCGCUCCCGUCUUCGGAAGACGGAAUGAAUCACCCUGUUUAUUUUAUCUUCGUUAACGUUCGUUCAUUCAUAAAUUUCUAUUUCAUGCCUGCCAGGUUCCAGCCACGGUUCUGAAUACGAGGGGUAAAUACCUAAAUAAAAAUAAGGGCCCUAUUCUCGAGAAGAAUCGUGUUGGCAGGGGAGUCAAAUACAAGCAACACGCUGUUAAACGUCAUAAACGCCACACGUGCAAGAUAUGAACAGCUUGUUCUAUAGAGGUGGUAUAGUUCGUACAGUAUCAUUAUUUGUCCCACAAAUCAGCAGCUUGUGGCUUCCCUGGAGGGGAAAAUAAAAAAUUGGGCGCUAGGACAUAUUGUCCUUAGGGCGUACAGCCUGAUUUCGGUGAUGUUACAAAUCCCGAUUCUGCCAGUUAAAGCCGUAUGUUUUUCAGAAAAACGAAGGAAGGUGACAGCUAUACUCCAGAAGAGCCCCAACUGCCCUCUUCUCGAUAAAAGAAACUUUCUGGUGCCGGUUAUGCUCAUUUCCGCUCACCAACCGGCCUUCAGAAAUGCUUCCUUGUCACAUCCAUGGUCAGCUAGUUCGAGCCUCCAAAGGUUUUUUUCUGAUCUUGGAUCUAUUUCCAGGCUGUUUGUCCUGUCCAUCUCCCUGCCUAAUUCUGUGAUUGUGGCAUAGUCUUUUCAUUUUCAACUGACUCUUAAACUUUGGGUCCUAUAAUCAAGGGGAACUGUACUCGACCUCCUACGUUGUGCCAUAAGACUUUUAAAGAAUGAUCACAGUAGGCUGCAUUCAUUACAAUCUCAAAAUGGGAACAAUGCAAUGUCAUUCAACAAUAAAAAGAAGCCAG